rnacentral:misc_RNA from 1 species
GACAGGCGAUGCUGCGCCUCAGCGCACGCCCCCGCUUUGGAUCUAUCUGCCAGUUUGCGUCGUUGCGUCUCUGUGCGUGUAGCGGCAGUGAUGAGGUCUGAAGGCGUGUGUCGGCUGCACGCGUUGCUCCUCACUUCCUCGCUUUUGUGUUUCGCUUCAUUCGUCUCGUGAAGAACGAAAUUGGAGGGUACGGAAUCAGCAGACGAACGUGCGAUUAAACGUUAAGGCGUCUCCUUUCUCAUCUUCUCUUCUUUCCCAGCUAUGCGUCUCUGUCUGCCUCCACUUUCCCGUGCUGUCACGAUGCCCUCUUUUCCUGUGCUCCGUCUCUUCAGUCAUCUUUACGUGUCUCUUUUACGUGCCCUCUCUCUCGCUUGCUUGCUUGCUCGGGUGCGCAUGUGUGCGUUCUGUUCUUGUCCAGCCGGUGCGAUGAACCACGGUACGCUUUAAAGGCUCUUUACCCCCCCCCCCCCCCCCCCCCCCCCCCCCCGCAUGCACGUGUGUAUGUGCACGUUUGUGGAAUCAAGACGAAGAGCAGCAACACCCAAGACAGCCAAUCAACACGCAACGACCACGACCACCACAAGGCUUGGUGUACAGUGACAUCUCCUCUUUCUGGUCUUAUCGGCGUUUUCCCUUUUUUGCUUUGUGCGGCUGCUCUUUUCACGGCUUCUCCUUCCCUUCGCUUCAGGCCUUCUGUCGCUUCGGUUUUACAUGCAAGACGGACGUAUACGCACACCGAUACGCGCCAACACGCAUACACAUAGAUGCCCGCAAAAGCAUGUGCACUCCUUCGUUCUUUUCUUUUUCUCUGUGUAUGCGUGUGUGCGUGCAUGAUGUUCACGGAGCGUUUUGUGAACGCUGCCGACUCCUGUUUUCCUUUUCCUUUCCAUGUUGUUCCUUGCCUAUUUGUUGUAUACAUGUCAGCGCUAUAUCGUGCUGAUCGUUUUUUUCUCCUUUUAAACGGAUACGUUGCACGUGUGUGCGUGUUGGGGCUCGUGUGCUGUCGAGGCUUCUACUUUCACAUUCACGUAUUUAACAUCAGAUGGUCAUAUGGGCCCACGCAUCAGCGUAUGCGUUUGUGGUGCUUUAUCUGCUAGCGCCACAUGUGCCCCUUUCCCCACAUAUUCAGCCGUCUUUUGUGCGGAUCCCAUAUGCUAGCAUAGACAUGCAUCAACCAAGGUCGAAGGAUGGCGUAUCUGGACUCUCUUCUUCCUCCCUCCUUCUCCUUGUUUCCCGCGCCUCGUACGUACGAUCACGUCCCCGCUGCACUGAAAAAG